rnacentral:lncRNA from 1 species
GGCAUUUAAUUUUGUUUUGGAUAAUUAAUAUUUCAGAUACAACAUCCAUUAUUGUAAAAUGUAAAUAUAUUCUUAUGACAAGGAAUGCUGCAUGAGAGAUCAGAAAAAUGAAGAAAAGAAAAAGUAUUUUCAUAAGUUCUAUUUACAGCUUCUGAUAUGGAAAUUGUAACUGGAAUGACUAGUAAAAUGGACAACUACCACUGGACUUGCCAUUUUAGAAGAUGAAAGAAAAUAUACAUAAGUGUAAUGUCCGUCAUCUAACCUCAAUGCUGAAUAAUUUGUUAUUUCUGCAUUAAGGAUUAGCAUUCUUCUGUCUUAUAUUUAAAUUCUAAAUCAUUUUAACAGGCCAAGCAUUUGAUAAAAUGAUCCAUUUAAACUAAUGGUAUAGGAAAAAUUAAGUAAGUAAACUUAACAAAUGGACUAUCUUAUACAUAUUUAUCUCUACUUUCUAUAAUUUUAAAUAGCUAAGUUUAUCUUGGGAUAAAAAGUUGCAAACAAAACUUCUACUCAAGAAUUGAUUCUAAAUAUGGUCUUUGUAUUUCAUGAUAACAAAAAGAACUUCUCUAAGUGUGUGUUUUAGCACAAUUUAAAAUAUUAGAAUGACUGGCACAAAUUCUCAAGUAGUUUGUGUGGUGUGACAUUUUUCUCUUAACAGUGACUUUUCUUUGCAAGAUUGUCCCUUUAGCUUGGAGUGGCUUGGCUAGUAGCAGGAAACAUUGUCUGAUUCAAAGCUUCCCAAAUACUGAUGUCUCUCCUGGCUCAGGCAGAGAACAGGUGGAUAGACAAUCUUAGAGAAGGAUGAAUAUUUUCCACAUGAUGUUGGAAGCCUUCAUUGCCUCAGGUCAUUAAUUUUGUAAUAACCAAGAUGCAAAAUCCACAAACUUAUGACCUUCUAAACUUUCUCUUCAAAUUAGAUGAAUAAAAGUGCCCAGGUGUCUUUUUACUGAUCAGCACAUCUCAUAGGAGACACUAUGACUGAAUAGGUUUAUGAUCUUGACAUACUGCCAAUACCUGCAUAUAUAAAGGCUCUUUCUCUGGUUCAGCUUGACUGCAUUAAAGGUUGUAGUUUACCCUGUUUUAAACAGGAAAUUAAGCCAUGUGCUACUGG